rnacentral:rRNA from 1 species
UGGGGAAUUUUGGACAAUGGGGGAAACCCUGAUCCAGCCAUCCCGCGUGUGCGAUGAAGGCCUUCGGGUUGUAAAGCACUUUUGGCAGGAAAGAAACGUCAUGGGUUAAUACCCCGUGAAACUGACGGUACCUGCAGAAUAAGCACCGGCUAACUACGUGCCAGCAGCCGCGGUAAUACGUAGGGUGCAAGCGUUAAUCGGAAUUACUGGGCGUAAGGCGUGCGCAGGCGGUUCGGAAAGAAAGAUGUGAAAUCCCAGAGCUCAACUUUGGAACUGCAUUUUUAACUACCGGGCUAGAGUGUGUCAGAGGGAGGUGGAAUUCCGCGUGUAGCAGUGAAAUGCGUAGAUAUGCGGAGGAACACCGAUGGCGAAGGCAGCCUCCUGGGAUAACACUGACGCUCAUGCACGAAAGCGUGGGGAGCAAACAGG